rnacentral:rRNA from 1 species
CACGUAGGCACCAAGCGUUGUCCGGAUUUAUUGGGCGUAAAAAGCUCGUAGGCGGUUCGAUAAGUCGGGUGUGAAAACUUUGGGCUCAACCCAAAGCGUGCAUUCGAUACUGUUGUGACUAGAGUUCGGUAGGGGAGUGGGGAAUUCCUAGUGUAGCGGUAAAAUGCGCAGAUAUUAGGAGGAACACCGGUGGCGAAGGCGCCACUCUGGGCCGAAACUGACGCUGAGGAGCGAAAGCGUGGGUAGCAAACAGG